UACGUAGGGGGCAAGCGUUGUCCGGAUUUAUUGGGCGUAAAGAGCGUGUAGGCGGCCUGAAAGGUCAGCUGUGAAAACUCGAGGCUCAACCUCGAGACGUCGGUUGAAACCAUCUGGCUAGAGUCCGGAAGAGGAGAGUGGAAUUCCCGGUGUAGCGGUGAAGUGCGCAGAUAUCGGGAAGAACACCCGUGGCGAAGGCGGCUCUCUGGGACGGUACUGACGCUGAGGAGCGAAAGCGUGGGGAGCGAACAGG
rnacentral:rRNA from 1 species